GCAGAGCAACCCGAGAUGGAAAUUUGCUGAGAGCAGCAGAGGCUCUGGGGACGACUGAAGAGCUACACUGAGGGAUGAAUGAAGACGUGUGUAAAAUGCUCUCUGCCCUCUGGCCUGAGAUACAAGGUGCAAUCCAAAAAUAUGGGGCAGAAACCUCAGAAGCUGGCACUGUAACUCAGCCUCACCUGGCCCCCAACCACAAGGCUCCCUCCAGGACAUGUGACCACCCCAAUGCAUGGAAGCACGGACACAAUGUCAAAACCUCACUGCAGGGAAAUCCAGACACAUUCUGGUCCCUGCUCUCAUAGAGCACUGUCCAUCUUCAGGAAGAGUGCUGACUGUUUAAAGCCGAGAAAAAUCUGCCCUGACAGAACACGACAGCAGGAACUCUCAGACUCGUCUCGGUGCACUACAGCAUGGCCAAGGGCAGUGCUGGGGCCACCUUGAUUGGACAGUGCCCACUGCAGCCCCUCCAGAGGGCUGGGGUCAGCACUGGCACACACAUCUCCCAGCGGAGACCCCACCAUUGUGUGGAGCCCGAUUCACACAGGGAGCACAGGACUCAGCUUCCCGGUGGGCCUGUGCCCACAGCAGGGAGGUGGCCUUCCACACCUGUCCCCUCCUCUGGACUGCACCCUCUUUCUCCACUGGGGCCCACUUGGCUGCCAUCCUCCCCACCUCCCCUGCUUCUGACCCCCACUUUCCACCACUUUCUCUUGGCUAUGGACUUGGGCACGUUCCUGGGUGAAGCCCCACAGAGGGGACUUCCGCUCAGGGUGCAGUCAGCACUUCAUGGUUGAGGUCAGUCCGCAUCCUGUCUCCUGCAGCCCUCCACUUCCUGCCUCCCUGGCUCCAUUUAACAUCCACUCAGAGCCCCACACAUGUGCACACACAACAUGCUCACCCACACGCCCCAGUUCCCCUCCCAGGCCCCCGUCCCCUUGCACAGUGGUUGAUGCCUGGACUCUGCAUUCUUGCCACAGCAGCCCUGUCCUGCCCAUCAAAAAUCAAUGCCUGCCUUACCUCAGUGACCAGUCUACAUCUGCUAAUUUUGUU